GUAUUCAUCCACUUUUAAGGAGGCACAAUUAGCUAAUCAUAUUGAGGUGCUAUGAAUUAAUCUGAACUAGGUGUGCGGGGCUUUCUCGAGUGGACGCGAUGGUAAAAUGUGUUCGUUACUAUCCUGAUGGCACAAGGAAGCGUGGAUCACAUGUUAAGGAUAAAAGGCGUGAUAAGUAUUACCAGUUGGCUCGAGCUUUGGUGGACGAGUAUAACGACCAUCACAAUCUUUUUGGGGUUGGCACUCUUUCCUCCCUCCAUCAUCCCUCUGUGCUGCUAGCAUAGCAGGGAUGCUAACAAAUUAUUGCAAUCACUGAUAGGAUCCACAUCUCUUAUUUUAGGAUAUUGCAUAUGAGGUCAAAGAUUUUCUGCAUGGCAAGCCUCUUUGGGAGGAUUAUUACAUCCACUGGACGUACUUUCAUAUGAAUUUCACUGCAAAGACCAAAGGAGCUUAUGGUGUUGACAAUGGCAACCUAUUCUUUGCUGAAGUCAAAUAUAAUCGAGGAGAUGAUGGAUUAACGGUGAACUGUUGCUGUAUACUGGAACCUUCUGAUCAUGGUAUUCUUUGAGCAUCUCAGCUUACAUCUUAUCUGUUAGACAGUCAACCUUUUGACAUUCAAUUCUGAAGCUGUUAUGAUAUGUAUUCGCGCCUGGUUAGUUAUUUGGCAGUUACAAUUGACAAUAAUUACCCCUCUUCUUUUAAAUAAAACACAGGCCUCUGCUAUGGUUGUGGAUCUGAUAUGAAGCACCCCAAUGAUGGUAAUGCAUAUGCUUGUGGUCGGCGGAACAUCUCGUAUCGUUUUGAGAAUGGUGCACCUCAACUACCUCCGUGUUAUUGCGAGGACCGUUAUUACGAGGAUGUAAGUGUAACGUUUUUCCGUUUCUUUCUGGCAAAGCUUGUUUUUAGCACUUAUCUAGUUUUAUGCAUGGUUUGUUACACCUCUUCUACAGUCUGAUGAAGAAGUGGAAAGACUGAGAUCACAAUUCAAGGUAAUGACAAUAUAUUGUCCUAAUUCCUGUGCAGCUAGCAUAGUACCAUCUAUUCGUCGACUCAUGGAUGAAUAAUUCCUUGCCUGUGUAUUUAUUUUCUUCAGGCGUACGAUGAUGAUGCAGUUACCGGAAAGUCAAAAUUUGAGGCUUCUGGAAUUUGAGGCUUAAAUAUCGUACAAUUACCGUAUUUAUUUUCAUAUCGUACAAUUUGAGGCUUAAAUAACUGCCAAAGUCAAAAUUGGAACGCUUGUUUCUGGAAUGGAAGAACGUCUCCUAUUUGCCUUCUGACUUAACUCUUGAUAUUGCAGCUAUGGGAUCUGCCUCUGUCCGUCGUUCUCUGAGGAAUAAUACUACGUAUACAUCUUAUAUUAAUUUGUCUGCCUAACCUUUAGGAUACGGUGUAACCCUUUCAAUUUAGUUAUUUCAUUGAAGUAAUGUGAGUUAGAGGAUGGACUCAAUUGUUUAGUCUAUCGUAUUUCAUCGUCUAUGUGGUGCCAUCUUGGGUCGUGUUGAUGUUUGGGUCGUGUCAUCUUCGGCGUUGUAUGGAUCGAGCCAUCUUUGGUGUUGUACUCUCUUAAAGAACUAUACAUGCAACUCUCCUGUAUGGUUAUUAAAACCGUUUUGCUAAAGCACAUCUAGAUGUGCCAUGACACAUUUAAGUCCUAUGUUAUUGAUUUUACAUGGAGAUUCGUGAGUUAUUUUACUUUUUUCACUUUUCUUUUUCUUUCUAUGCUUGAUUGGGCGGCGGCGAGGGAGGAGGAGGAGUAGAGAGGAGGGCCGGAUGACGGGAUCUGAGUUCUUCUGCAAAGACCAAAGGAUCUUAUGGUGUUGACAAUGGCAACCUAUUCUUUGCUGAAGUCAAAUAUAAUCGAGGAGAUGAUGGAUUAACGGUGAACUAUUGCUGUAUACUGGAACCUUCUGAUCAUGGUAUUCUUUGAGCAUCUCAACUUACAUCUUAUCUGUUAGAAAGUCAACCUUUUAACAUUCAAUUGUGAAGCUGUCAAUGUGUGUUCGCG
rnacentral:lncRNA from 1 species